GGCUGGAGGCAGACGUGACUUACCUCAGAAAGCAGAACAGGGACCUGCAAGCCAGGCUGCUGCAGCUGGAGUCCUGCAAGUGCUGCUCAACCUCCCCCCAGUGCUGGGGGCCAGGUCACCCCUGUCCUGAAGGAGCUCGCUGGGAGCCUGAUGCCUGCACGGCCUGCGUGUGCCGUGAUGGGACCACGCACUGUGGCCCCCAGCCCAACCUGCCCCACUGCCGUGGCUGCAGCCACAAUGGGCAGUCUUAUGGUCAUGGGGAGACCUUCUCCCCAGAUGCUUGUACCACCUGCCGCUGUCUGGCAGGAGCUGUGCAGUGCCAGGGGCCUUCCUGCUCUGAGCUCAACUGUCUGGAGAGCUUCACCCCGCCUGGAGAAUGCUGCCCCAUCUGCCGGCCAGGCUGUGAGUACGAGGGGCAGCUUCACCAGGAAGGGACCAGCUUCCUGUCCACUUCCAACCCAUGCCUCCAGUGU
rnacentral:lncRNA from 1 species